GUUUUCGAUCAACCCGUAGAACUGAAAUCGUGUUUGAUUUUUGCAACACGAUUCUGUUCUCGGGUCGAUUGCUUGC